rnacentral:rRNA from 1 species
GAAACCCGGGCUAAUACCGCAUAAUGUCUUUUUUUCACAUGUGAAUGAGACCAAAGGGGGCCUCUGCUUGCAUGCUCUCGCCUGAUGAGGGGGUCGCGUCGUAUCAGCUUGUUGGUGAGGUAACGGCUCACCAAGGCAAUGANGCGUAGCGGGUCUGAGAGGACGAUCCGCCACAUUGGGACUGAGAUACGGCCCAGACUCCUACGGGAGGCAGCAGUGGGGAAUAUUGCGCAAUGGUCGAAAGACUGACGCAGCGACGCCGCGUGUGGGAGGAAGCCUUUCGGGGUGUAAACCACUGUCAGGGGGGAAGAAUCCCGGGUACUCGAAUAGGGUGCCCGAAUGACGGUACCUCCAGAGGAAGCGCCGGCUAACUCCGUGCCAGCAGCCGCGGUAAGACGGAGGGCGCAAGCGUUGUUCGGAAUUACUGGGCGUAAAGCGCACGCAGGCGGUUUGCUAAGUCCAAUGUGAAAAGCCCGGGGGCUCAACCCGGAAAUUGCAUCGGAUACUGGCAGACUGGAGACUGGUAGAGGCUA